rnacentral:rRNA from 1 species
GUCGAACGGUAACAGGGAUUAGCUUGCUAAUUUGCUGACGAGUGGCGGACGGGUGAGUAAUGCUUGGGAAUCUAGCUUAUGGAGGGGGAUAACUACGGGAAACUGUAGCUAAUACCGCGUAAAAUCUUCGGAUUAAAGGGUGGGACUUUCGGGCCACCUGCCAUAAGAUGAGCCCAAGUGGGAUUAGGUAGUUGGUUAGGUAAAGGCUGACCAAGCCGACGAUCUCUAGCUGGUCUGAGAGGAUGACCAGCCACACUGGAACUGAGACACGGUCCAGACUCCUACGGGAGGCAGCAGUGGGGAAUAUUGCACAAUGGGGGGAACCCUGAUGCAGCCAUGCCGCGUGAAUGAAGAAGGCCUUCGGGUUGUAAAGUUCUUUCGGUGACGAGGAAGGUUGAUAGGUUAAUAGCCUAUCAAAUUGACGUUAAUCACAGAAGAAGCACCGGCUAACUCCGUGCCAGCAGCCGCGGUAAUACGGGGGGUGCGAGCGUUAAUCGGAAUAACUGGGCGUAAAGGGCACGCAGGCGGUGACUUAAGUGAGAUGUGAAAGCCCCGGGCUUAACCUGGGAAUUGCAUUUCAUACUGGGUCGCUAGAGUACUUUAGGGAGGGGUAGAAUUCCACGUGUAGCGGUGAAAUGCGUGGAGAUGUGGAGGAAUACCGAAGGCGAAGGCAGCCCCUUGGGAAUGUACUGACGCUCAUGUGCGAAAGCGUGGGGAGCAAA